rnacentral:rRNA from 1 species
AGCUCCAAUAGUGUAUGCUAUCAUUGUUGCAGUUAAAAGCUCGUAGUCGAUUUUUUAAGUGAAUCAAUUUUAUGUGGUCUCAAAAACUUCAGAAAUAGAUGAUUUAUCUUACUCUAUUCUUUUUCACCCUUGGAAUUCGUUUCUGAAAGUGAAGUUAGUGUGUGUUUACUUCGAGAAAAUUAGAGUGUUCAAAACAGGCUUACGGUUUGAUAUUAAAGCAUGGAAUGAUACUUAAUGACUUUUGUUAUUUUUGAUGGUUUCAGUGGCUGAUGUAAUGAUUUAUAGAGUAAGUCGGAGGUAUUAGUAUUUUGUUGCUAGAAGUGAAAUUCCGGGAUCGACAAAAGACCAACAAAUGCUAAAGCACUUGUCUAGACUUUGCUUUUUGAUCAAGAACGAAAGUUAACG